CAGUCGCCGCGGUAAUACGAAGGGUGCAAGCGUUAAUCGGAAUUACUGGGCGUAAAGCGCGCGUAGGUGGUUUGGUAAGAUGGAUGUGAAAUCCCCGGGCUCAACCUGGGAACUGCAUCCAUAACUGCCUGACUAGAGUACGGUAGAGGGUGGUGGAAUUUCCUGUGUAGCGGUAAAAUGCGUAGAUAUAGGAAGGAACACCAGUGGCGAAGGCGACCACCUGGACUGAUACUGACACUGAGGUGCGAAAGCGUGGGGAGCAAACAGGAUUAGAUACCCCUGUAGUCCCUGUCUCUUAUAC
rnacentral:rRNA from 1 species